UACGUAGGGUGCGGGCGUGUCCGGAAUUAUUGGGCGUAAAGGGCUCGUAGGCGGUUUGUCGCGUCGGGAGUGAAAACCUUGGGCUUAACUCAGGGCUUGCUUUCGAUACGGGCAGACUAGAGGUAUGCAGGGGGAGAACGGAAUUCCUGGUGUAGCGGUGAAAAUGCGCAGAUAUCAGGAGGAACACCGGUGGCGAAGGCGGUUCUCUGGGCAUGAUCUGACGCUGAGGAGCGAAAAGUGUGGGGAGCGAACAGG
rnacentral:rRNA from 1 species